UUUUUCAAUAGCUGCAAAACACGCUGAUCCUCUCCUCGGGUCGGGUCAAUACGCAGGUCACAGGCCUUAUACGACGUCGUUUUAAGGCCACUGAAGCAGGCCUUAAACGGCGUCGUUUCUUACACCGUAUAUAACCAUUUUAAAACCCUAAAAUUAGCAGCUAUCAGUUUUAAACAAACUUAAAAAAAAAAAAAACUAAACAUCCGCCUCCAAAACGCUGUUCUGAAAAUUGGCUGCUCCAAAGUUAAUCGAUCCCCUGCCCGAGCCCCGAUCGCGACGGAGUGAGCAAGGAUUCGACACCCCCAGGUACAGCCAGCUGGAGUGGAGGCGCGUGUGGGAAAGAUGCUCGUGGCUGCUGUGCAUGGGGAGAGCGGCGCGGACUGUUCCAGAAGCUAGGUUUUUUAUGAUUUUUUUUUGUUAGGGUUAGUGUUAGGCAUUUGGGCCUGUAAUUGGGUUUGAUGUAAUGGGUUUGAUUUUUGGGUUGUGUAAAUGGACUUUUAUGUUUGGUUUAUUAUAAUUUGGUUUUAA